rnacentral:rRNA from 1 species
AAGCAAGCAUGGCGUUGGUUUUCCAUGUGAAAGUGAGUAGGCUAGUGACUUAGGUAAAUCCGGGUUGCUGUUAGGCUGAGACACGAGACGAGCACCCAAGGGUGUGAAGUUGCUGAUGCCAUACUUCCAGGAAAAGCCUCUAAGCUUCAGAUUAUACCGAAUCGUACCCCAAACCGACACAGGUGGUCAGGUAGAGAAUACUAAGGCGCUUGAGAGAACUCGGGUGAAGGAACUAGGCAAAAUCGUACCGUAACUUCGGGAGAAGGUACGCUCCUAUCUGUGAUGAGAUUUACUCUCUAAGCGGACGGGAGCCGCAGUGACCAGGUGGCUGGGACUGUUUAUUAAAAACACAGCACUGUGCAAAAUCGCAAGAUGACCGAUACGGUGUGACACCUGCCCGGUGCCGGAAGGAUAAAU